AUCGAUGCUUGAUGAGCGCUUCUUGAUUAGUUGCUUUAUUUAUUUGGCAUUCAAAUUUAAAUUUAUAGCUACUAUAAUAUAGUAAAAUGAAAAACUAAGGGGGAAUCUUAAAAAUGGGGUCUAAAUAUGUCUGGUUUUCUACUCAAGUUAAAUUAUAGGGUAUAAACAACUGAGAAGCUCUCUGCGGGAAGCUAUUCAACACAUGCAAUUCAUUUAUCAAAGCUCAAAGACGUAAUACACCUGCACUUACCAUUGCUUAAAUCUGCAUCCAUAUCCUCAUCCUGUCGAGCACGUUUUUCAUCUGAAUCGAAGGAAUUUAAAUAAGUCUUAUUUUAUCCAUGAAUUUACUGAUUUUGUUGUCGUUAUGCGGGUGUCGUUUUGCUUGGGGAAGUGGCCCAGGGCAGCUUUCGUCUAAAACUUUCGAGCAUGGACGGUGAAUGUUUAAUUUACAGUCUAAAAUGAGAAAAACAAUAGAAAGUUAACAGUCAUUUAUUGACGUAAUACCAGCGGAUGACCCCGUACAACCAUCUAAUCGAAAAAAAAUAUUAGAAAUGCACAUGUUGAAUUAAAAUAAGCGAGGAACAGUUCAAUGUAUAAGUGGCGUAUUAUAAAGUUAGUCGACUUAAAAUAAUUAAACAGA